GAGAAUAUCUAUGUACUUGUGUCCAUUAAGAUAGAAUCUCAAGUGCUUUUUCCAUCUGCCAAAGAAACAAUCCGGGUGCUGUGGCUGCCUCCACUUAUCAGGGGCAAUACAGCAGCCGGGGACACAGCC
ensembl:snoRNA LOC120096833 small nucleolar RNA SNORA77